rnacentral:piRNA from 1 species
CAAGUGGACACAAGCCAGGACCUGU